UACGGAGGGUGCAAGCGUUAUCCGGAAUCACUGGGUUUAAAGGGUGCGUAGGCGGCCUUGUAAGUCAGAGGUGAAAUCUUCCCGCUUAACGGGAGAACUGCCUUUGAUACUGCAAAGCUUGAAUGAGCACGAGGCAGGCGGAAUGUGGCAUGUAGCGGUGAAAUGCUUAGAUAUGUCAUAGAACACCGAUUGCGAAGGCAGCUUGCUGGACCUGUAUUGACGCUGAGGCACGAAAGCGUGGGGAGCAAACAGG
rnacentral:rRNA from 1 species